UACGUAGGGUGCGAGCGUUAAUCGGAAUUACUGGGCGUAAAGCGUGCGCAGGCGGUUCUCCAAGUCCGUUGUGAAAGCCCCGGGCUCAACCUGGGAAUGGCAGUGGAAACUAGGGGACUGGAAUCUGGCAGAGGGAGGUGGAAUUCCACGUGUAGCAGUGAAAUGCGUAGAGAUGUGGAGGAACACCGAUGGCGAAGGCAGCCGCCUGGGCCAGCACUGACGCUCAUGCACGAAAGCGUGGGGAGCAAACAGG
rnacentral:rRNA from 1 species